GCCGCGGGGAGCGCGUCCCCUUCGGUGCCGGCGGGAUAGCCGCUGUUUUGAGGUGUGCGUGCGGAACACAGAGCGGUUUUCGGUGCCGAGGCUGGCUGUAGCUCCGGGGAUGGGUUUUUUUCCGAUUAAAUUUCGGGUUUUAUUUUCGGCUAAAUAGCGUGUUUGGCUGCUAAAAAAAAAAAAAAAAAAAAAAAAUUGGAAAAAAGAAGAUGUGAUUGCAGACGUGCAAAGAUGAGCACGUGUUCGCAUUUGUGUGUUAAUGUGCUGUCUAGAUUGUAGUAUGUAAAUCUAAUAGGUGUUAGGCACACAGGAACACAUGGAAUACACCCCAUGUGCACAGCACAGAUGUUGGAAUCCAGCUUUAACUCAAAGGCCUGAAGUAAGCAAGGUCUGGUAUUUGGACGGAAGACAAAUUUCUCAUAUGGACCAGAUUGCUGCAAGAAAUACAGCAAGAAAUGUUGAUCCUUGAGGCCCAUGAAUGUACCCAGCAAGAACUUUGGUAGUCUUAAUGGUUUCUGGAUCUCGGCUCUGUAAAUGAUAGUAGGAGUUUGUUGAUAACAACAGAUUCAGAAGUCAGAGCUUCAGUGAACUCAUAUAUUAAAUAAUAUCUUGAGAUGAACUUGUGGAUAAAUCCAGGAACUUGCAUACUUAAAGGACGCUGAGGUGGAAUUCAGAUAUCUCAGAAUGUAAGUGAAGACAGUUCCGCUCAGAAGAGCUCUCUGUGACACCUAAUCCUGAAGAGGCAAGAAGCUGUUCCAGUGCGAGAUGAGCUGUUCUUACUGGAAAAAUUCAAGUACAGCAAGUAGCUUCUGGAGCAUAAUUUAAAGGAGGCUUAUCUGCUCUAGGCUGUCCCUGUACUUAAUGGUAAACAGGUGUUAAAAGCCUCCUUAAGAUCUGAAUCAUCCUCUCAAGAAAGCUAUUUCUUUCACUUGACUAUCCCUUUAUCCCCCAGGGAAAGUAAGUAUCUAAAAUAAUUUACAGGCUCAUUUAGGGGCUGAAAGCUAGAUGGGAAGAAGUCAGGUUCAGGAAUCUAUUUUUGGCUAUGACAGAACUCACUAAAAAUGAGUAAGCAUCCAUGCUGCUAACCUCAGUUCUGGAAAUUAAGAGAAGCAGCUUACAUGAAAGUUCUGCACUAUUAUGUUAUAUUCUUUAAAGGUUAGUAAUAAAAAAAUUGAGUUUGAGAUUGUGUCUGUGGGAAGUCUUUAAUCACAAACCAGAUGAAUUAACAACUCUUAGGGACAAAAGAUUCUGACACAGACAAAAAUUAUGCUUGACUGAGUCAGUCUGCUAAAAGAAAUUUUUUUCUUAACCCAUAUCAAAAUAUUCCAUGAUGUAUUAUAAUUCAGAACAAGCUUGUUUAAGAGUUAAUUAGCCUUACAUUGCUCCUUCACAUCUCCCAAAGGAAGUACAAUGCACAUGAGAAAUUCACAUUUGGUUGCUGAGAAGUUUUGUACUUAAAAGCAGCUCUUGACUUCCAAUCUCUUCAUUGUUCUGCUGAGAUUUUUCCCAGUGCUGUUUUUGACCUACUCUAACUUUUCUGCGGUCAGUUUCUUUUUGGAGCAUGGAGAAUCAGAAAUUGUCUUGUGUCAAAUAUUUAACUCUUUAGCCUGGGUGACAUGCUGUAUGUUCAUGUACUACAGCCUAAUAUAUACCACAGAAAGAUCUUGUAAGAGGUCUUUUCUUGUCAUGUCCUUCAAAAUACAUGGUCCA